GGCACUGUGGCUCAGCAGGUUAAAGCCCUGGCCUGCAAUGCCAGCGUCCCAUAUGGGUGUGGGUUCAAGUCCUAGCUGUUCCA
rnacentral:tRNA from 1 species